UACGUAGGUGGCAAGCGUUUGUCCGGAAUUAUUGGGUGUAAAGCGCGCGCAGGCGGCCUCUUAAGUCUGAUGUGAAAGCCCCCGGCUCAACCGGGGAGGGCCAUUGGAAACUGGGAGGCUUGAGUAUAGGAGAGAAGAGUGGGAUUCCACGUGUAGCGGUGAAAUGCGUAGAGAUGUGGAGGAACACCAGUGGCGAAGGCGACUCUUUGGCCUAUAACUGACGCUGAGGCGCGAAAGCGUGGGGAGCAAACAGG
rnacentral:rRNA from 1 species